CGUGAAGCCCCCCUCAAGAUGAGAUAUCCCAUAACGUCAAGUUAGUAAGACCCCUUGAAGACGACGAGGUAGAUAGGGCAGAGGUGGAAGUGUGGCAACACAUGGAGCUGACUGUUACUAAUAGGUCGAGGGCAUAACCAA
rnacentral:ncRNA from 1 species